GGGUAUGAAGGCAUUCAGGUUGCAACAUCUGUUACCCCAUUGAUUGCCCAGGUUGAUUUGGCUGAUCUGGCUGACUAGGUGGGUUUUUCCUUCCUCCCUCACUGUUCCAUGUGCAUCCCUCCUUAGUGAGACCAUCCCUGAUAAAGAAGGACUUACUUGGUCAAGGGUCUAUGAGUAGCUGCCCUUCCCUGUUAGAACUUCGAAACAAGCUCUCUAGUUUAAAAAAAUCACAGGUCUUUUUUUUUUUUUUUUUU
rfam:Fukomys damarensis contig92051, whole genome shotgun sequence.